rnacentral:rRNA from 1 species
UACGUAGGGCGCAAGCGUUGUCCGGAAUUAUUGGGCGUAAAGAGCUCGUAGGCGGCUUGUCACGUCGAUUGUGAAAGCCCGAGGCUUAACCUCGGGUCUGCAGUCGAUACGGGCUAGCUAGAGUGUGGUAGGGGGAGAUCGGAAUUCCUGGUGUAGCGGUGAAAUGCGCAGAUAUCAGGAGGAACACCGGUGGCGAAGGCGGAUCUCUGGGCCAUUACUGACGCUGAGGAGCGAAAGCGUGGGGAGCGAACAGG